rnacentral:rRNA from 1 species
GACGUGGGGCGCAAGCGUUGUCCGGAUUUAUUGGGCGUAAAGAGCUCGUAGGCGGUCUGUUGCGUCGGCUGUGAAAACCCGGGGCUCAACUCCGGGCCUGCAGCCGAUACGGGCAGACUAGAGUUCGGCAGGGGAGACUGGAAUUCCUGGUGUAGCGGUGAAAUGCGCAGAUAUCAGGAGGAACACCGGUGGCGAAGGCGGGUCUCUGGGCCGUAACUGACGCUGAGGAGCGAAAGCGUGGGGAGCGAACAGG